GGUUGUGGCUCAGUGGUAGAGCACUUGCCUAGCAUGCCUGAAGCACUGGGUUCGAUCUCUGUCACCA
rnacentral:tRNA from 1 species